rnacentral:pre_miRNA from 2 species
CAUGCUUUUACCAUCAAAGCUGGUUUGUCAUAGGGCUUCGACUAUCACAGCCAGCUUUGAUGAGCAAAAUUGUGUCCG